rnacentral:rRNA from 1 species
GUCGUCAGCUCGUGUCGUGAGAUGUUGGGUUAAGUCCCGCAACGAGCGCAACCCUUAAGCUUAGUUGCCAUCAUUAAGUUGGGCACUCUAGGUUGACUGCCGGUGACAAACCGGAGGAAGGUGGGGAUGACGUCAAAUCAUCAUGCCCCUUAUGAUUUGGGCUACACACGUGCUACAAUGGACAAUACAAAGGGCAGCUAAACCGCGAGGUCAUGCAAAUCCCAUAAAGUUGUUCUCAGUUCGGAUUGUAGUCUGCAACUCGACUACAUGAAGCUGGAAUCGCUAGUAAUCGUAGAUCAGCAUGCUACGGUGAAUACGUUCCCGGGUCUUGUACACACCGCCCGUCACACCACGAGAGUUUGUAACACCCGAAGCCGGUGGAGUAACCAUUUAUGGAGCUAGCCGUCGAAGGUGGGACAAAUGAUUGGGGUGAAGUCGUAACAAGGUAGCCGUAUCGGAAGGUGCGGCUGGAUCACCUC